rfam:Stegodyphus mimosarum contig62194, whole genome shotgun sequence.
GCCUUCGUGGUGCAGUGGUCAGCACGUUGGGUACGUAUUUCAGAAGUCCAUGGUUCAAGUCCAGGCUAGGGCA